rnacentral:piRNA from 1 species
UGGUGAUGAUCAGUGUGGCCAGAACAGAAAUU